GAUGCUCAGUAAAUAUUUAUUGAAUGAGUGAGUGAAUGAAUGAUUGAAAAAAUGAAUAACUAAAUGAAGGAAAUAAAUAUAAAGACAGAGAAGUUAAAGAUAAUGCAAAGUUUCAAUCUGGGUUAGAGUAGAAAAACUGAAAUGAAAAAAAACUGAACGAAGGAAAAAACUGAAUUGUGUUCAGUAGAGUUGUAAAUUAAGUACAUUUUUCAUGAAUGUAGUAGAGCAUAACUGUCCAUUAAAACCCAGCAUUUAUUCUGGUAUUUUCGUUAUACAGAAAUUUGCUACAGAAAAAGGCCUCAUCCUAGAAAGAGGUUGCAUUCUAAAGCAGGGUUUGCAAACCAGUUGUCUGGAAUUUACAAUAGAAUUUUCCUCAGAAGUAAAUUAAAAUUGGUGAUUAGGUACCCAAUUUAUCACACAAAAGUCCAUUUACUCUCUAAUGUGCCUGAAAAGCUUCAAGUCUGAUUAAAAACUGGUAGAAAAUAAUACCAUUUAAUAUUAUUGAAAUAUUGAAUGUGAACAUAAUUUAUUUAUCUUGAAUAUUGACACUGGAGAAAAGACAGAUUUAAUUUUAGCAAGUGAGAAAACCCAAGAGAUGUUUGUGAAGAUCAGAAGAACUUCCGGUCAUUCAGAAACUUUUUGAGGUUAGUAGCCCUAACUCUUUAAUAUGGUCAGUCCUCUGUACCCGUGGGUUUCCCAUCCACGGAUCCAACCAACCACAGAACGAAAAUAUUUGGGGGAGGGAAAAAAAAGCAAUAAAAAAUAACAAUACAAUACUAAUAAAUAAUACAAACCUUUAAAAUAUAGUAUAACAACUAUUUACAUAGUAUUUACAUGUAUCAGGUAUUAUUAAGUAAUUUAGAGAUGAUUUAAGGUAUAUGUGAGGGUGUAUGCCGGUUAUAUGCAAAUACUAUACCGUUUCAUAUAAGAGAUUUAAGCAUCUUCAGAUUUUGGUAUCCUUGGCAGGGCUUUUGAGGGGGCAGGGGCGGGAGUCCUGGGAUCAAUCCCUGAAGAUACUGAGGGAUGAAUUAUGUAUAUUUCACUUCAAGGCUUGAGACAGUCUUCUGGAAGCCCAAGAGUUGGUCUGUUAUAGAAUGGUUGCCUGUCACGCCUUGGACGUAAUAAAACCCAUGGCCUGCCCAACGCAGCUUCAAACUGGAUAUCUGGGGGACUUUCAGCCAUUACCCAGGCUCAAUGAUGCACCUCUGCUUGAGACAUCUGAUUACCCCAACCCUCCUCCUUGACUAUCAAGACCAGAGAUGUGCCCCACUUUAAGAGAGAUCCAGGAAAACCCAAAUGUGCAAGAUGGAUAGAUUAGGGCCGGAUCAUUCAUGCACCAAGAUUCUUUUAAUUUUACCAAAGAAUCUAAGAAUUUCCUUAGUAUAUUAUAGCUUUUUUGUUUCCUUUACUUUUUUCUUAAUUGCCUGACAGAUGAAAAUAAAGCUCAAUGGCACUCUUAUCUAUUGAGGAUCAAUUGGAAAUAAGAAUAAUCUACGUAAAUGGGAAAAAUGACUUGCAAAAACACACCCUAUGCCCAUCAUCUUCUGGGAACACAUCUGUUUGUUAGCUGGGAAGCAGAGCGAAGACAGCCUUCCAGAUCCCUUGAUAAUGAAAAUUCAUCCAAAGGGUUAUGAUGAUGAUGAUGAUGGCUGGCAUACACCAGAUUCCUGUUUCUCCAUGACAACCAACAUCUAAAAACCCAACUCAAAACUCUUCGAUCAUAGGGUAAUGUUCAAAGAUCCAUAGCUAAAUCAAACAGCAUGGAUGGGAGGUUUUGGAUUUUAAAACAGCAAACAGAUUAGAAAUGUUAAGGAGUUAAAAUCAACAAAAAACUAAUGUGGAUCAAGACAUCAUGAAAUCCAGCAGAGGCAGAUUUUUCAGAAUCGGGUAGAGGAGGCCAAGAACUGUAAUUAUCCCACAGGGUAUUCCACAGGCCUGGCUUCUGAAUCCCAGCGGAAGAAAUAUAUGAUGUUAAGAGAACUGUAGGACUUGCAGGAAAGCAAAGAAGAGUCUCGGCAAUUUUAUCAAAGGGUAGGAGCGUGCAACUUUUACAAAUAGUAAUCCUAAGACUAAAAUAUCUGCGUUUGAAUCCUGACUCUGUCAUUGAUUGGCUGGGUUGUGUGCCUGUGUGUGUGUGUGUGUGUGUGUGUGUGUGCGAUCCAGUAAGCAGGUUUUAUUACAAUUUAUAACUGAAUUUUCUCAUUCACACAGGGUCCACCUUUAUGGUGACACACCACAGGAUUGUAGCUAUGCAGGAAAAUUUUAAAGCCAUAAAAUAAAUAAUGUCUGGACUCUAGAAAAGAUGGUACAUUUAUAACAGUUAUGCAGACUAACAUAGCAAAAAAUAAGUGGCCACAAAACUUUGUAUUUUUCUUUAGUAUUAUGCCUACUCAACUUGUAAAAGACUGGCCAUGUCAUAAUGUUUGUAGUUUCUAAACCAUGUUUUUGGAAACACAGAGGACAUCAGUGUUAUGCCUAUUCAAAUUAUAAAAGACCCGGCCACUUGACAAUGCCUGUAGUUUCUAAACCAUGCUUUCCAAAUUGCAAAGGGGGCAGGUACAGCCCAUAACUUUACAGAAUGGCAAGUAAUGUUCUACCUUUUGUUGAAUAAUUGGCUUAUUUCACUUGACGUAAGUUUUU
rnacentral:lncRNA from 1 species